GCUUAUGCCAUUGAGGGUGAAUCCAUCUUUUCUUCCUCAUGGAAGGCUUAGACACAGAUGGCAUCCAGUGAUCGUCUUUGACUAAAACAAGGACUCUCCAGGGGCUCAGCCUGAUGCAGCCCCAUGCACUCAGCUCAGUUAACCACAUGGCCGGCCAAGAUGAUACCCAAGGGAUGGAAGGUGAAUCGAAUGAGGUCUGGAAUGUUAAGUGCUUUGCUUCAGGGCACCCGGCCAAAGAGACACCACGCAGUGGUUACAAAGCGGAGUUCACAGGUUCCCAAGUAAGGAACCCUCCCACAAGGUCUCUGACGUCUCACCAGGAUCGGGUGUGUUCGCAGGAAGCAGGGAAAUUCUAAGUGGAUGAUGCGAGGAGAUGAGGAGAUGCAAGCUUCCGGUGAAGGUGCAGCAGCCGCAUUUGGAGUCUGAUCUCAUGGCUCCAGCAAAAAAAAUCUCUUUGAAAUCUCAAGACUCGCCGGGCGGU